GACUUGCCUCGCAAGAGGUGAGUGGUAGGGGAGCAUUCUCUUCGCUGUGAAGGUUGACCGGCAAGGACAACUGGAGCGUAGAGAAGAGAUUAUGCAGGCAUAAGUAGCGAUAAACGAUGUGAGAAUCAUCGUCCCCGUAAGCCUAAGGUUUCCUGGCCUAUGUUCGUCAGGUCAGGGUCAGUCGGGUCCUAAGCCGAGGUCGAGAGACGUAGGCGAUGGUAAACAGGUCAACAUUCCUGUACCACUGUCAUGGCGUUAUCAGCGAAGGGGGGACGCAGAAGGGUAGGCACCGCCGGGUCGCUGGAAUGCCCGGUCCAAGCACGUAGGCGGGUCUCGUAGGCAAAUCCGCGAGGCCGUUAACGCCGAGAUGUGAUGGGGAGGCCGCAAGGCCAUAAACGGACUGAUCCCAUGCUGCCGAGAAAAGCCUCGUAGCGAGUCAUGAUAGUGUCCGUACCGCAAACCGACACAGGUAGGCCGGUAGAAUAUACCAAGGGGCGUGAGAGAACCCUCCCUAAGGAACUUUGCAAUCUAGCCCCGUAACUUCGGGAGAAGGGGUGCCUCGCGUAGGUAAGGGUGUACAAUCCAAGCCGAACGAGGUUGCAAUAAAGUGGCUCUAGCGACUGUUUACCAAAAACACAGGACUCUGCGAACACGCAAGUGGACGUAUAGGGUCUGACGCCUGCCCGGUGCUGGAAGGUUAACCGGAGGAGUUAGCCGCAAGGCAAAGCUUUGAAGGGAAGCCCCAGUAAACGGCGGCCGUAACUAUAACGGUCCUAAGGUAGCGAAAUUCCUUGUCGGGUAAGUUCCGACCUGCACGAAUGGCGUAACGAUCUGACGACUGUCUUAACAAUCCGCCCGGCGAACUUGUGGUUCCGGUGAAGACGCCGGAUGCCCGCAUCAAGACGGAAAGACCCCGUGCACCUUUACUAUACCCUAUCAAUGAACUAUGGGGUGCUCUGCGCAGGAUAUGUGGGAGGCUUGGAACCCGGGUUUUUGGACUCGGGGGAGCCAGCGGUGAGAUACCACCCUGAGCAUUCUGUGGUUCUAACUUGCUCCCGUAAACCGGGAGAAGGACAUUGGUAGGCGGGUAGUUUGACUGGGGCGGUCGCCUCCUAAACGGUAACGGAGGCGCUCGAAGCUUGGUUCAGGAGGCUUGGAAAUCCUCCAUCGAGUGCAAAGGCAUAAACCAGGUUGACUGCGAGACCUACAAGUCAAGCAGGUGCGAAAGCAGGACUUAGUGAUCCGGUGGUUCUGAAUGGAAGGGCCAUCGCUCAACGGAUAAAAGGUACGCCGGGGAUAACAGGCUGAUCGGAGUCAAGAGUUCACAUCGACGCUCCGGUUUG
rnacentral:rRNA from 1 species